rnacentral:rRNA from 1 species
GACGAACCACACAAACGUUAUUCGGAAUUACUGGGCUUAAAGGGUGCGUAGGCGGCGCGGAAAGUCGGGUGUGAAAUCCCUCGGCUCAACCGAGGAAUUGCGCCCUAAACUACCGUGCUCGAGGGAGAUAGAGGUGAGCGGAACUUAGGGUGGAGCGGUGAAAUGCGUUGAUAUCCUAAGGAACACCGGUGGCGAAAGCGGCUCACUGGAUCUCUUCUGACGCUGAGGCACGAAAGCUAGGGUAGCGAACGGG